GGUUCUGGACGAACGAAGAGAAGAAAAAAAGGGUUGAAACCCUAGCAUCAAGAAAUCCAGCAAUUGAGCUUGAAUCAAAGGAAAAAUUCGAUGCAUGAUGCCCUAAACUCGAGUAGCUAACCUCAAUUUCUAAGGUGGCACGAAGAAGGAAGAAGGCGCAAGUCACUCGAAGGCAUAAGUAUCUCAAGAUCGCGGAUGGAAAUCUCAUCAGUUGAUUCAAGUAUGGAUGGCAAACAGGGUAGGAGGAAACGAUGAGGCAAACAUGAAUGUGAACACUAAAGGCACGAAGAAGGAAGAAGGCGCAAGUCACUCGAAGGCAUAAGUAUCUCAAGAUCGCGGUAAAACUUCACUCUAGGCGAUUUGGAGAUUUGGAGCGAGCACGGGCCCAUGCUAUGAUAUACCAAAUGCUUCCGCUAGUUUUGUUCGUCUUUAUGGUCCAUGACUUGUUAUUUUGUCCAACUUUGUUAGUAGUCGUAUUUUGCAAAAAAAAAAAAAAAAAACUUGUUGUCUUUAUCUUGGGUAGUUUAAUGUCAAAAAGGGUCAUAGAUUGUUGUUAAUUUUAUGUGUUAAAAACAGGGAGGCAUGUCCGUUUUACGAACGGGUCAUGCCCAAUUUUCCUAAGAAUUUUAUUAUGUAUCAAAGUUUGGUAA